CCUACGGGGGGCAGCAGUGGGGAAUAUUGGGCAAUGGGCGCAAGCCUGACCCAGCAACGCCGCGUGAAGGAAGAAGGCUUUCGGGUUGUAAACUUCUUUUAAGGGGGAAGAGCAGAAGACGGUACCCCUUGAAUAAGCGACGGCUAACUACGUGCCAGCAGCCGCGGUAAUACGUAGGUGGCAAGCGUUGUCCGGAUUUACUGGGUGUAAAGGGCGUGCAGCCGGAGAGACAAGUCAGAUGUGAAAUCCACGGGCUCAACCCGUGAACUGCAUUUGAAACUGUUUCCCUUGAGUGUCGGAGAGGUAAUCGGAAUUCCUAGUGUAGCGGUGAAAUGCGUAGAUAUUAGGAAGAACACCAGUGGCGAAGGCGGAUUACUGGACGAUAACUGACGGUGAGGCGCGAAAGCGUGGGGAGCAAACAGGAUUAGAUACCCUUGUAGUC
rnacentral:rRNA from 1 species